rnacentral:misc_RNA from 1 species
UACGGAGGGUGCAAGCGUUGUCUGGGAUCAUUGGGUUUAAAGGGUCCGUAGGCGGGAUAAUAAGUCAGUGGUGAAAGUCUGCAGCUCAACUGUAGAAUUGCCAUUGAUACCGUUGUUCUUGAGUGUUUAUGAAGUGGUUAGAAUAUGUAGUGUAGCGGUGAAAUGCAUAGAUAUUACAUAGAAUACCGAUUGCGAAGACAGAUCACUAAUAAAAUACUGACGCUGAUGGACGAAAGCGUAGGUAGCGAACAGA